UACGUAGGGUGCGAGCGUUGUCCGGAAUUAUUGGGCGUAAAGAGCUCGUAGGCGGUGUGUCACGUCGGCCGUGAAAACCUGCAGCUUAACUGUGGGCGUGCGGUCGAUACGGGCAUCACUGGAGUUCGGCAGGGGAGACUGGAAUUCCUGGUGUAGCGGUGAAAUGCGCAGAUAUCAGGAGGAACACCGGUGGCGAAGGCGGGUCUCUGGGCCGAUACUGACGCUGAGGAGCGAAAGCCAGGGUAGCGAACGGG
rnacentral:rRNA from 1 species